GCGAACGCUGGCGGCAGGCUUAACACAUGCAAGUCGAACGGGCACUUCGGUGCUAGUGGCAGACGGGUGAGUAACACGUGGGAACGUACCUUUCGGUUCGGAGUAAUACAGGGAAACUUGUACUAAUACCGGAUACGCCCUUCGGGGGAAAGAUUUAUCGCCGAUAGAUCGGCCCGCGUCUGAUUAGCUAGUUGGUGAGGUAAUGGCUCACCAAGGCGACGAUCAGUAGCUGGUCUGAGAGGAUGAUCAGCCACACUGGGACUGAGACACGGCCCAGACUCCUACGGGAGGCAGCAGUGGGGAAUAUUGGACAAUGGGCGCAAGCCUGAUCCAGCCAUGCCGCGUGUGUGAUGAAGGCCUUAGGGUUGUAAAGCACUUUUGUCCGGGAAGAUAAUGACUGUACCAGAAGAAUAAGCCCCGGCUAACUUCGU
rnacentral:rRNA from 1 species